UCCCUAAACUAGCCUAUAACACAAAUUUUUUUCAAGCUUAUCGAGUAUCGAUCAUCUAUAUUCAUUCUUUCGAGAGAGUGAGUGACUGUGACUGAGCAUAUUUUCUAUUUUUUUAACGUAAAAGUAUAUAACGUGUAGAUUAAUUUGAAAAAAUAUUUUGUCUAUUUUGAGAAGAAAAUAGACCAGAAAUACUGUUAAUGAUUACGGUUCUCACAGUGGCCGGGGUGUAUUUGUUUUUGUGUUUGAAGAAUAUUGCCGGAUUUCGGCAAGUAUAACAUUGUUCCCUUUUAUUGGGUACUUAACCUCCAUUCCAUAUUAACAGUUUUCUACAAGUUUUGAAUCAUUUUACUUAGUCAUGUGUUUAUUGAAAGCAUAAUGAAAAACGAUUAUAUAUCAUAGUUUGCAUUGUUUAUAUACGCAGUAUUUCAUUUCUAUUCCAGACAAUUUUUGUUAUCACAUAAUUCCACAAUUGUGAACAAAGGAUCCAAGAUAUAUAGAAGCUCAGGAGCUUCUUAUCAGGGAAAGUUGAUUAAAUACUGGAUAUAUGCUAGGUAAUCAUAUACCAACAAAGUAAUAAGAAUUGAUAGUUCAAGGAUUAAAGCUUCGCUGCAAAAUUUUGAAUUUCCAUUUGCUUAUGAAACCUCAAUAACUUUUUCUUUCAAGAUUAGGAGCAAGCCGUGAUUUGUUUUUUCUCUGAAGCUUUCUACUUGAAAACAGAAUCUGAAUAAUGAUUGAUGAGUUGAAUAUUGUAAAAUUGAAUAAGUCAUAAUAUAUUCAGAAAAUCUUGUGCUUCAUGUCUAUUUCAAAGUUUGUCUCCUUUAUUUGGCUAGGAAUCUUUGGUGCGUAUAAUAACAUAGUGAUGUGAUAUUAUUGGGUUCAUUACACUUGGAAUUGUUUUUACAUUAUUUUUUAAUUUUUGCCAAGUGUUCAUUAUAAAAAAAAGUUGGAAAAUAUAAAAAAUUUAUUGUUGACAUAUUAGUGUACUCUAUUUGUAAGUUACGAAUAAAGAUU